CAAAAACAAAAAUAAAUGCCGAACUCUCGCCGUGAAGGAGCCACGAGAGAAGCCUUAAUGGGCUUCCAUCAGCUGCCCUGUCCGACGGCAAGGGAACAUCCCUUUAUGAAAAUGUUGUUCAGCAAGGUGGCGAUUCAUCCGAUGAACGGCGUUGGCGAAAUCUUCAAAGUAUUUUCUCUCCGGCAAUCAAAUUCAGCACGAAGCACUCUGAGAUUGCCAUCGCUGCCUAACCUAACCAUGAGGGAACCAAGAGAGGCACCAAGAAUGCUAACAUUGAUGGGCCACUGAUGCUUAUCGUCCUCGUGAAUAGAGAUUUUAAACCCAAGAGCACCGCCAAUAGGACUUGUAUAUUCAGGUGAAUUGAUCAGAACAGUUUCAUGGCAUCAUAAAAUGUAAAAACGAUCAACACUAGGUAAACCCACAACUUGAUUGGAAGAAUUAUUGGAGUCAAGAAACAUUGUAACUAGUGAAUAAUCAUCCAUGAAAGGUAACUAAAUCCUAGAGAAGUUAACAAUCAUUUCCAAUUAUAUGUGCAAUACUAUCUCCCAGUUAUGCCAGUAAUGCUGACAAAGUUAGCAGAGUGUGAACCCUGUGCUUCUGAAGCGGAGUCAAAAUUGAACCCUGUCUCGUUUAAUAUAUAUGCAGGUUGCCUUGGAAUAGGAAGAUUGGCAGUCUCACUACUAAGCAUAGACACUACAUUGGCCAUAGUUGGCCGCUCUUUCACUAAUUCUUGCACCAAAGUAGUCCUAUGUGUAUACAUCGCAAAUAUCCUCAUAAUCAGAACCUGAUAAUAUAUUUCUGAAUCUAUGAAGGACACAAAGUUAUCCUCAUUCCAUA